rnacentral:rRNA from 1 species
UUAGAGUUUGAUCCUGGCUCAGAACGAACGCUGGCGGCGUGGAUAAGACAUGCAAGUCGAACGAGAGAAUUGCUAGCUUGCUAAUAAUUCUCUAGUGGCGCACGGGUGAGUAACACGUGAGUAACCUGCCCCCGAGAGCGGGAUAGCCCUGGGAAACUGGGAUUAAUACCGCAUAGUAUCGAAAGAUUAAAGCAGCAAUGCGCUUGGGGAUGGGCUCGCGGCCUAUUAGUUAGUUGGUGAGGUAACGGCUCACCAAGGCGAUGACGGGUAGCCGGUCUGAGAGGAUGUCCGGCCACACUGGAACUGAGACACGGUCCAGACACCUACGGGUGGCAGCAGUCGAGAAUCAUUCACAAUGGGGGAAACCCUGAUGGUGUGACGCCGCGUGGGGGAAUGAAGGUCUUCGGAUUGUAAACCCCUGUCAUGUGGGAGCAAAUUAAAAAGAUAGUACCACAAGAGGAAGAGACGGCUAACUCUGUGCCAGCAGCCGCGGUAAUACAGAGGCCUCAAGCGUUGUUCGGAAUCACUGGGCGUAAAGCGUGCGUAGGCUGUUUCGUAAGUCGUGUGUGAAAGGCGCGGGCUCAACCCGCGGACGGCACAUGAUACUGCAAGACUAGAGUAAUGGAGGGGGAACCGGAAUUCUCGGUGUAGCAGUGAAAUGCGUAGAUAUCGAGAGGAACACUCGUGGCGAAGGCGGGUUCCUGGACAUUAACUGACGCUGAGGCACGAAGGCCAGGGGAGCGAAAGGGAUUAGAUACCCCUGUAGUCCUGGCAGUAAACGGUGCACGCUUGGUGUGCGGGGAAUCGACCCCCUGCGUGCCGGAGCUAACGCGUUAAGCGUGCCGCCUGGGGAGUACGGUCGCAAGAUUAAAACUCAAAGAAAUUGACGGGGACCCGCACAAGCGGUGGAGUAUGUGGCUUAAUUCGAUGCAACGCGAAGAACCUUACCUGGGCUUGACAUGUAAUGAACAACAUGUGAAAGCAUGCGACUCUUCGGAGGCGUUACACAGGUGCUGCAUGGCCGUCGUCAGCUCGUGUCGUGAGAUGUUUGGUUAAGUCCAGCAACGAGCGCAACCCCUGUUGCCAGUUACCAGCACGUGAAGGUGGGGACUCUGGCGAGACUGCCCAGAUCAACUGGGAGGAAGGUGGGGACGACGUCAGGUCAGUAUGGCCCUUAUGCCCAGGGCUGCACACGUACUACAAUGCCCAGUACAGAGGGGGCCGAAGCCGCGAGGCGGAGGAAAUCCUGAAAACUGGGCCCAGUUCGGACUGUAGGCUGCAACCCGCCUACACGAAGCCGGAAUCGCUAGUAAUGGCGCAUCAGCUACGGCGCCGUGAAUACGUUCCCGGGUCUUGCACUCACCGCCCGUCA